CAAAAGUUAGAGGUGCUUCUAAUGCGCUAUUACAGCACUUUAAAUUUUAGACCUCAAAUCAGUCAGGACUACCCGCUGAACUUAAGCAUAUCAAUAAGCGGAGGAAAAGAAACUAACAAGGAUUCCCCUAGUAACGGCGAGUGAAGUGGGAAAAGCUCAACUUUGAAAUCUGGUACUUUCAGUAUCCGAAUUGUAGUCUCAAGAAGUGUUUUCUGUGCCGGUCCAUGUAUGAGUCUGUUGGAACACAGCGUCAUAGAGGGUGACAACCCCGUUCAUGACAUGGAUCCCGGUGCUUUGUGAUACACUCUCGAAGAGUCGAGUUGUUUGGGAAUGCAGCUCAAAUUGGGUGGUAAAUUCCAUCUAAAGCUAAAUAUUGGCGAGAGACCGAUAGCAAACAAGUACCGUGAGGGAAAGAUGAAAAGCACUUUGGAAAGAGAGUUAACAGUACGUGAAAUUGUUGAAAGGGAAACGAUUGAAGUCAGACGUGCGUGAUGCGGUUCAGCUCUAGUUCGCUAGAGUGUACUCCGUAUCUUUGCAGGCCAACAUCGGUUUUGUUAGUCGGAUAAAGGUUUGAGAAAUGUGGCACCUUCGGGUGUGUUAUAGUCUCAGACUGAAUACGAUUGAUGGGACCGAGGAACGCAGCGCGCCGCAAGGCAAAGG
rnacentral:sRNA from 1 species